rnacentral:rRNA from 1 species
UACGUAGGGAGCAAGCGUUGUCCGGAAUCAUUGGGCGUAAAGCGCGCGUAGGUGGUCCCGUAAGUCCGCUGUGAAAGUCAAAGGCUCAACCUUUGAAAGCCGGUGGAUACUGUGGGACUAGAGUACGGAAGAGGCGAGUGGAAUUCCUGGUGUAGCGGUGGAAUGCGCAGAUAUCAGGAGGAACACCGGUGGCGAAGGCGGAUCUCUGGGCCAUUACUGACGCUGAGGAGCGAAAGCGUGGGGAGCAAACAGG